UUGGAGGACAUCUGUCAUUUUAACUGCUAUUUUGACUUGGGGUAUCUGUAAAAUACUUCACAUCAAAAUCAAACCUAUUACUUUCCACUUUUUUCAUUACAUGGUUUCUGCUCCUCUGGUACAUGUCUGUUUCGUCUAGUCUGUAUGGGAGGAGAAACUAGGUUUGGUUUCAGUCCCUGUUUAUGCUCAGUGCAAUAAAUGGUGGACAAAGUCUCUUCUCUUUUUUUGCCUUUUGGAGAGAAGAAGAGAAACAAAGUUCUAGUUGAUUCUUAAGUGGCCACGUAUUCAUCCAAUGUCUAGUAAGAGAGAACAUUGCCAAGUGGAGGUCCGAGUCCUGAGGAGCAGCUAUCUGUUUAAGUGAAAGGAACUGGCAAGCCCGACAUGCUCUGAGAGGCACUGGAAAGGCUGAGGAUUGAGCAGAAGGAAGGGACUGAAGUGAAUUUUCAACUACUUCCCAGGGUCGUCAGCCUCACCACCUCCGGGAUUUUCUGAGUCAUCAGGAGCUUCAGCAUGUGAGGUAAAGGAAAGAAACCGCAAGAGCAGGACUUACAGACUCCAUUCUUUUGAAGUUUAUCUUUCAACCGUGUGUCUUACUUUAUGGAUUCUUUUCCAUCGUCUCUUUGUCAUUCCUUCCCUCAUCCUCCGCCUUAAUUUACAACUCCUUAUACUAAAUGUCACAGCUUUCC